rnacentral:rRNA from 1 species
GAUGAACGCUAGCGGCAGGCUUAAUACAUGCAAGUCGAGCGGAGAUGAGGUGCUUGCACCUUAUCUUAGCGGCGGACGGGUGAGUAAUGCUUAGGAAUCUGCCUAUUAGUGGGGGACAACAUUCCGAAAGGAAUGCUAAUACCGCAUACGCCCUACGGGGGAAAGCAGGGGAUCUUCGGACCUUGCGCUAAUAGAUGAGCCUAAGUCGGAUUAGCUAGUUGGUGGGGUAAAGGCCUACCAAGGCGACGAGCUGUAGCGGGUCUGAGAGGAUGAUCGGCCACACUGGGACUGAGACACGGCCAGAAGCCUACGGGGGGUCGCAGUGGGGAAUAUUGGACAAUUGGCGGAAGCCUGAACCAGCCAUGCCGCGUGUGUGAAGAAGGCCUUUUGGUUGUAAAGCACUUUAAGCGAGGAGGAGGCUACCUGGAUUAAUACUCUAGGAUAGUGGACGUUACUCGCAGAAUAAGCACCGGCUAACUCUGUGCCAGCCGCCGCGGUAAUAC